AAUAUUGGUCAAUAGCCCAACGGCUGAACCAGCAACUUGGAGGAAUGUAUAGCGAAAGCUUAUUGUAUUAGCUGGCAAUGGUUAAUACAAUAUCGACUCUGUCGACUAAAAUUCUAGGUAAAAUAAUGAUAAUGACAUUUUUUAUCUAUGUGUCUUGACCAAGUCACGUGCCAGCAGUCGCGGCAAUACGUGGAAGACUAGUGUUAUUCAUCUUUAAUAGGUUUAAAGGGUACCUAGACGGAAUAUUUAGCCCACAAAGGGUACUAAAUAUUCUAGAGUUUAAUGUGAGAUGGAGUUAAUAGUACUAACGGAGUAGAGAUGAAAUUCGUUGAUACCGCUAGGGAACUGGCAGCGGCGAAAGCAACCCUUUAUGCAAAAACUGACGUUGA
rnacentral:rRNA from 1 species